GUCGAAGGUGGGACAAAUGAUUGGGGUGAAGUCGUAACAAGGUAGCCGUAUCGGAAGGUGCGGCUGGAUCACCUCCUUUCUAAGGA
rnacentral:rRNA from 4 species